AGUGAACGCUGGCGGUAGGCCUAACACAUGCAAGUCGAACGGCAGCACAGUAAGAGCUUGCUCUUACGGGUGGCGAGUGGCGGACGGGUGAGGAAUACAUCGGAAUCUACUUUUUCGUGGGGGAUAACGUAGGGAAACUUACGCUAAUACCGCAUACGACCUACGGGUGAAAGCAGGGGAUCUUCGGACCUUGCGCGAUUGAAUGAGCCGAUGUCGGAUUAGCUAGUUGGCAGGGUAAAGGCCCACCAAGGCGACGAUCUGUAGCUGGUCUGAGAGGAUGAUCAGCCACACUGGAACUGAGACACGGUCCAGACUCCUACGGGAGGCAGCAGUGGGGAAUAUUGGACAAUGGGCGCAAGCCUGAUCCAGCCAUACCGCGUGGGUGAAGAAGGCCUUCGGGUUGUAAAGCCCUUUUGUUGGGAAAGAAAAGCAGCAGGUUAAUACCCCGCUGUUCUGACGGUACCCAAAGAAUAAGCACCGGCUAACUUCGUG
rnacentral:rRNA from 1 species